UUUAAACGGAUGUGGUGUGCAUUUUGAUGUUCAUAGAGUUGUAACGAGAAACACGGCUGUCACGUUUUUGCAGUGUUUUUGAUGCGCCAUAUGCACAAAUAAUGGCUACAAUAAUACGUUCAAUCAUAGCAGACACGCAAAUGCAUGAGCGCCCAUGCACAAGCCUCUGCCUCCUCAGAGUGUCCUGCUUUUACAUUUCAUUUGCGGGGCCAUAAAUCUGUCCGGGCCCCCAGCAGGAAGCGGGUUGAGCCUCUUACAAGAGAGGACGCCUCCACCGCACCGUCACCCAGUGAACCCUCUUACCUCCCAUUCCAGCCCUGUGACAGAGACCCACAGCUGCUGCAUGGAUGUCCCCAUCCCUCACUGUCAAAACAUGGCACCCACCCAAAGUCCUGUUCAGUAGUAGCUACCUGGGAACGCUGCCAAGGCCUCCGCAAAGAGAUACUGUAUGUACAAUAGUUGUAGCAUUUGACACUAAUCCCUCCUCAGCUGUAUUAUGUGUGUGUAUCUGUGUGUGCUUGUACUCUGGAUGUGUGUGUACCUGAUGUGUACUGUAAGUGUGUGAAAGCCCCGUUUUUUUUCUCUCUCUCUCUCUCUCUCAUCAAUCAACUGAUGCUUUGAUGUCUUUCAUCUUCUCCUUAUAAGGAAUACUGCUCUGAAAAAAAAGGGAACUGAAUUGAAUUGGAUUUCCAAUUUGCUCAUUAACUAAUAAGGUUUGAAUGACUGCUUUUAACAGCCAUCAGCAGGUGGACUGAAAGAACUAGAGGCAUUUCAGUACAAAGAUCACUUAUUUAUGGUUCCUAAUCUGGAUGAUUUAUCUUUAGGCUCACUCAUUUGCAGGUCGCUCUUGACAGUUCCUAGAUAUGGGGGGCACCCACUCGGGUUUAUUCAAAGUGCCCGACAAAGACAAACCCCUCCGGAGGCCUCAAAUACUGCAGGUGUUAGAACAGCGUUGAGAGCUCAUCUGGAGAACAGUUGUCACCUCAGGUUAAGACCUGGCAGCUCUUGCAAAAUACAUGUUCGGCUUUAGUUAUUGCAAAACGGUAAGAUAAGCGCCUGAGAAUUGCAUUUAUUCCCACAAAGUCUUUCUCACAUCAGAAGUUAUGUGCUUUUAAGUGCUUAUUUCUGCAUUUGUGGUUGUCUCUCUGAAGCCUACUCUGACCCACAGUGGCAGCAGCAGGUUGGGAGGACGCUGGGGCCAGAAAAAGGAGAUGACCCGCGGCUUCACGUGUAACCGCUCCAUGUGACGUACCUGUUAUUGACACUGAGCAUUCAACAGGGCUCCUGCGGGACCCUUGAACUUGAGAGGCAGUCCCUGGGAGCAACACUGGAGGGCUGAAGAGUUCAGCACAGUUAAUGUUCAACCCUUUUGAUCUCUGCCGAGAAGUCGCAUUCCCCGAAUUCCUCACCAGCAUUUCCAGCGGUAGAGAGACUAUGAAUGGCUCUACAGAAGACAGUUAACACUCUCCCAUGCUUUUCUUUUUUUUUUUUUUUUCUUUUUUUUCUUCGCACUUUGGAAAAGCACAGCAGGAAUAAAGCAGAGCUCAGGGGUUGUUAAACUUUGGAGCUCACUGUCAGGAAAUGCUUCAGCUAAUUUGCACUUUUUGACAGUUUUGUAUUGUUGUUGUAUGAAACUCUUUCUUCUGAAAUCCUCACUAUUUCUGGCAUUUACUGCAAAAAUACUGAAUAGGUGCUUUCUGUGACACAAGUGAGCAAAGGAUAAAGUGAAUCAGGGACUUAAUCAUUGUCAAAUGUGAUGAGCUCAUAGUUUGUGUUUGUGUGUUUUUUUUUCUUUUUUUAGUAUUUCACUUGUCCUUUCCCUUAAUCUGUGUAUCCACCAGAUCUGGUCAAAGUGACCCACUGCAUUGAACGGUAAUUGAGCAAUGGGUCAGGCGUGGGUGAGCGAUACAGGACAGUUUUCUAAAAAAGAACAGAAACUCUUAUCCUCACCUACGCAACCGUGUACCCUCCACAUUUGGACAUUUACUGCCUGCUGUGUGUAACUGUGCUACAGCCUCAGACAUCAAAGCAGCAAACCUUUUUAAUGACAAUAAAGUGAUCACGCCG